GAUGAACGCUAGCGGCAGGCUUAAUACAUGCAAGUCGUGGGGCAGCAGGUUUGUAGCAAUACAGAUGCUGGCGACCGGCAAACGGGUGCGGAACACGUACAGAACCUUCCUUUGAGCGGGGAAUAGCCCAGAGAAAUUUGGAUUAAUACCCCAUAGUAUAAUGAAGUGGCAUCACUUUAUUAUUAAAGAUUUAUCACUCGAAGAUGGCUGUGCGGCUGAUUAGGUAGUUGGCGGGGUAAAGGCCCACCAAGCCUGCGACCAGUAACUGGUGUGAGAGCACGACCAGUCACACGGGCACUGAGACACGGGCCCGACUCCUACGGGAGGCAGCAGUAAGGAAUAUUGGUCAAUGGAGGCAACUCUGAACCAGCCAUGCCGCGUGGAGGAUGAAGGUCCUCUGGAUUGUAAACUUCUUUUAUAUGGGACGAAAAAGGCUUUUCUAAGUCGUCUGACGGUACCAUAUGAAUAAGCACCGGCUAACUCCGUGCCAGCAGCCGC
rnacentral:rRNA from 1 species